GAUGAACGCUGGCGGCGUGCUUAACACAUGCAAGUCGAACGAUGAAGCCCAGCUUGCUGGGUGGAUUAGUGGCGAACGGGUGAGUAACACGUGAGUAACCUGCCCUUAACUCUGGGAUAAGCCUGGGAAACUGGGUCUAAUACCGGAUAGGAGCGUCCACCGCAUGGUGGGUGUUGGAAAGAUUUAUCGGUUUUGGAUGGACUCGCGGCCUAUCAGCUUGUUGGUGAGGUAAUGGCUCACCAAGGCGACGACGGGUAGCCGGCCUGAGAGGGUGACCGGCCACACUGGGACUGAGACACGGCCCAGACUCCUACGGGAGGCAGCAGGGGGGAAUAUGGCACAAUGGGCGCAAGCCUGAUGCAGCGACGCCGCGUGAGGGAGGACGGCCUUCGGGUGGUAAACCUCUUUCAGUAGGGAAGAAGCGAAAGUGACGGUACCUGCAGAAGAAGCACCGGCGAACUACGU
rnacentral:rRNA from 1 species